CUAGAUUUUAUAUUGAACUUUCAUUUCCGUUUCAUGCGGUUUUUAUGCAUUUGAUUCGCUUGUAAGAUUUCUUGUAAGAAAAUAACGCGCCUUCUUAUUAGUUAAUUCGCGGUUGAACUUCGGAAGUGCAAGUGGGCGAAAAUAUUACCGUGGAAAUUUUUAAUUGCUGCAAAGCAAGUUCAGUACGUGGAGUGUUCGGUGAAGUUGGCUGAGGUAUAUACUGUAUAAUGUCUCUUCAACCAAGCGUAAGACCACGUGUUCGUGUUCCUUCACCUCAACUUAUGGGAAAAGUUGGUAUUCGUCCUGUCAUGACAUUUACGGGUC